UACGUAGGGUGCAAGCGUUGUCCGGAAUUAUUGGGCGUAAAGAGCUCGUAGGCGGUCUGUCGCGUCGGCUGUGAAAAACCCGGAGCUCAACUCCGGGCCUGCAGUCGAUACGGGCAAACUGGAGUACUGCAGGGGAGACUGGAAUUCCUGGUGUAGCGGUGAAAUGCGCAGAUAUCAGGAGGAACACCGGUGGCGAAGGCGGGGUCUCUGGGCAG
rnacentral:rRNA from 1 species